UGAGACAGUUCGGUCCUUAUCCACUGUGGGCGUUGGAGAUUUGAGAGGAGCAUUCCUUAGUACGAGAGGACCGGGAAUGACGCACCACUGGUUUUCCGGUUGUCGCGCCAGCGGCAGUGCCGGGUAGCUAUGUGCGGAACGGAUAAGCGCUGAAAGCAUCUAAGCGCCAAGCCUACCUCAAGAUAAGAUCUCCCUAUCGCGCAAGCGGUACUAAAGGCCGGUUGAAGACUACAACCUUGAUAGGCUGGGUGUGUACGCGUAGUGAUACGCUUAGCUAACCAGUACUAAUAGGCCGUGAGGCUUGACCAU
rnacentral:rRNA from 1 species